GGGCCAGUGGUCUAGCGGCUAUGACGCUACCUUGACAGGGUAGAUAUCGCAGGUUCGAGUCCUGCCUGGCCCA
rnacentral:tRNA from 1 species